rnacentral:rRNA from 1 species
CCUACGGGAGGCAGCAGUGGGGAAUAUUGCACAAUGGGGGAAACCCUGAUGCAGCGAUGCCGCGUGGAGGAAGAAGGUUUUCGGAUUGUAAACUCCUGUCGAAGAGGACGAUAAUGACGGUACUCUUCAAGAAAGCUCCGGCUAACUACGUGCCAGCAGC